CCUACGGGUGGCAGCAGUGAGGAAUAUUGGUCAAUGGCCGAGAGGCUGAACCAGCCAAGUCGCGUGAAGGAUGACUGCCCUAUGGGUUGUAAACUUCUUUUAUAAGGGAAUAAAAAAUGCCACGUGUACCUUGAUGCCUGUACCUUAUGAAUAAGCAUCGGCUAACUCCGUGCCAGCAGCCGCGGUAAUCCGGAGGAUGCGAGCGUUAUCCGGAUUUAUUGGGGGUAAAGGGUGCGUAGGUGGGUUGUUAAGUUAGGUGGUAAAUCUUGGGGCCGCACCUUUGAAUUGCCAUUAAUACUGUCAGACUCGAGUUCAGACGAGGUAGGCGGAAUUAGUGAAGUAGCGGUGAAAUGCUUAGAUAUAACGUAGAACUCCGAUAGCGAAGGCAGCUUACCAGACUGCGACUGACGCUGAUGCACGAGAGCGUGGGUAGCGAACAGGAUUAGAUACCCCUGUAGUC
rnacentral:rRNA from 1 species